rnacentral:sRNA from 1 species
AUAUAGAUGAUCUAAC